UUAUNGAGUAAGCUAUUGCGCCAACUAGGACUUUUAAUCCAACAUCGAGGUCACAAAAUUUUUUGAUGAUAAGAACUCUUAAAAAAAAUUAUGCUGUUAUCCCUACAGUAACUUAUUACUCUUUUAAAAUUNCUCGAUUUUACAAGACUAGAAAUCACAAUAUAUAAAUGAUAUUAAUUCAUCAACUGCCCCAGUUAAACAAUUUUAUUUUUGACUUGAAAACAAAAAAUCAAUUGUAAAGCUUGAUAGGGUCUUCUCGUCCCCAAACAAAAUUUUAGCUUUUUUACUAAAUGAUAAAAUCCAAAAUAUUUAAAUAAGACAGAAAUAUUCAGUGAAACCCUUCAUUCCAGUCCCAAAUUAAGAGACUA
rnacentral:rRNA from 1 species